rnacentral:rRNA from 1 species
CGUUGUUCGGAUUUACUGGGCGUAAAGCGCGUGUAGGCGGCUUGGCAAGUCGGAUGUGAAAGCCCACGGCUCAACCGUGGAAGCGCAUCCGAAACUGCUUCGCUCGAGUCUCGGAGAGGAAGGUGGAAUGCUUGGUGUAGAGGUGAAAUUCGUAGAUAUCAAGCAGAACACCUGCGGCGAAGGCGGCCUUCUGGACGAUGACUGACGCUGAGACGCGAAAGCGUGGGGAGCAAACAGG